UCUUCCGAACUCAGGUAUAAAUAAGAAAAUCUUAGUUAAGAGGGUUCAUGUAAAGAACAUGUUCCAAAUCACGAUCGAUUCCCUUUUCAAAACCUGCUGCAGCAGCUCGGGCUCUUCCUGCAUGCCAUAAAUGGCCCACAAAAAAGAAGAAUCCUAGAACAAAAUGAGAAGUU